CCCAUUGGAAUGCAUGUAAGCUGUGACAAGUUUUGCUGUUUGUGAGCGCUUCCCUUGCUUCUUCACUAAAAUUUUGCCACGGAUCGCUGCAGAAAUCCCUCGUGAUUGGAUUCCUUACGUUUUUUGUGUGAAAUCCCGUCACAUACAUGUUAUUUCCUGUCUAUUUUGUACUCGUGUGAGGUCGUGUCGUCCCAAUUUUGUACUUUGAACUUCGAUUAUGUGAUUUGCUGGUUUUGUGUGGUGUUGUAUUUGUUGUGUUACGUUUCCUUUGUCGUCUGUCAGUGUGUGCAGCGUGUUGCUUCCCGUGUUUCUCCCAUUUCCUUUCUGCUCGGGAGUGUGGAAUGCCAGGGAAUGUUUGUUUAUGUAACCGCCUUAAUGCUGGGGUAUAAACAUUAUGCUUUGCACAGGAAGUUUAGAUAUGACUAGUUAUGACACGAAAUGCCGAACGGCACUAAAGCACUUCCAAAGGACUAGAAUGAUAUGUGAUAUAAAGGCUAUAUGACGGUAAAAACAUAUCGAUUAGAAAUAUGUGCACUGGGGAAAUGAAUGGCGGUAAAGACAGUUCAAAAUGACUAGAGGUAGAGUGAAUAAGUCAUAAAAAGGCUAAGUAGCAAGGUCUUGUGCUGAAAGCUCCAACAUCAAAGUAUCACAAGUUCAGUUGCAACAGCAAGUUUGAGGCAGUCAAGCAGCUGAGGCCUGGCUGUCACCUUCUCUGUAUAUUCCUUGGCAAGGUGGUACAGUCCGAUACUGCUGUAACACUGGGAAACUUCUUUGAUCAGACUGAUCACAGAUACAUUGAUCGGAUGGGCUGCAUUCAAACGUGUUGUCGCAAACUUAAGCAGCGAGAAUAAAGAGUAGACAUUCGA